CCUACGGGCGGCAGCAGUGAGGAAUAUUGGUCAAUGGACGAGAGCCUGAACCAGCCAAGUAGCGUGAAGGAUGACUGCCCUAUGGGUUGUAAACUUCUUUUAUAUGGGAAUAAAACGUUCAACGCGUGGGCUUUUGUAUGUACCAUAUGAAUAAGGAUCGGCUAAGUCCGUGCCAUCAGCCGCGGGAAUACGGAGGGUCCGAGCGUUAUCCGGAUUUAUUGGGUUGAAAGGGAGCGUCGGUGGUUUGUUGAGUCAGUUGUGAAAGUUUUGGGCUUAACCGUAAAAUUGCAGUUGAUACUGGCAGUCUAGAGUACAGUAGAGGGGGGCAGAAUUCGAGGUGUAGCGGUGAAAUGCUUAGAUAUAACGAAGAACUCCGAAUGCGAAGGCAGUUCACUGGACUGAAACUGACGCUGAGGCACGAAAGUGUGGGUAGCAAACAGGAUUAGAUACCCUUGUAGUC
rnacentral:rRNA from 1 species